AUGUUGUGGAGACUCACGGUGUUCCAUGGGAUGACGCAGUGAAGGCAGUUUCUAAUGGAUCCACAGUGAUUUUCAGGUUGGAUUUGACUGCAAAGAUUAGGUUUAAGGAGUGGGUUUUUAUGUCCAAGAAGAGAAAUUUGGCGGUGUGGGCUAACAUGGAAAUCAACAACUCUGGUAAAAAGGUCCAAAAGGAGGCUAUUGAACUCACCUCAGGCUCAUCCAGGAUAGGCGGCUAUUUGAACACGAUGUGGCUUUCUGUUUUCUUCAAUCUCUUUGUCACUUGUUUGUUGUUAAAGCAAUGCUUCUGACCCUUUAUAUUUAGUGAGAAUAAAACUUAGUAUGUUCUUCAAAUUGCGUAUUUUUGUGACAAUUUUACUGUGGUUUGAUUUGAGAUGUCUUUUGUGAGAAUUUUUUGUUUUUGGGUGGUUAAAUGUAUUGUUAG
rnacentral:lncRNA from 1 species